rnacentral:rRNA from 1 species
ACGAACGCUGGCGGCGUGCUUAACCCCUGCAAGUCGAACGGAAAGGCCCUGCUUUUGUGGGGUGCUCGAGUGGCGAACGGGUGAGUAACACGUGAGUAACCUGCCCUUGACUUUGGGAUAACUUCAGGAAACUGGGGCUAAUACCGGAUAGGAGCUCCUGCUGCAUGGUGGGGGUUGGAAAGUUUCGGCGGUUGGGGAUGGACUCGCGGCUUAUCAGCUUGUUGGUGGGGUAGUGGCUUACCAAGGCUUUGACGGGUAGCCGGCCUGAGAGGGUGACCGGCCACAUUGGGACUGAGAUGCGGCCCAGACUCCUACGGGAGGCAGCAGUGGGGAAUAUUGCACAAUGGGCGGAAGCCUGAUGCAGCAACGCCGCGUGCGGGAUGACGGCCUUCGGGUUGUAAACCGCUUUCGCCUGUGACGAAGCGUGAGUGACGGUAAUGGGUAAAGAAGCACCGGCUAACUACGUG